UACGUAGGGUGCAAGCGUUGUCCGGAAUUAUUGGGCGUAAAGAGCUCGUAGGCGGUUUGUCGCGUCUGCUGUGAAAACCCGAGGCUCAACCUCGGGCCUGCAGUGGGUACGGGCAGACUAGAGUGCGGUAGGGGAGAUUGGAAUUCCUGGUGUAGCGGUGGAAUGCGCAGAUAUCAGGAGGAACACCAAUGGCGAAGGCAGAUCUAUGGGCCACUACUGACGCUGAGAAGCGAAAGCAUGGGGAGCGAACAGG
rnacentral:rRNA from 1 species